UGGGUGCGGUUAUUUUUUCUCAUCUUAGUUUGCUAUUUUGGCGCGAUUUUGACAAUUUCUGGCGCAUUCCACUUAUUUACUUUAGCGGCCAUAGGGCAAUGGUUUACUAACGGGAGAUGUGAUGAAUUACAGCAGCAAUACUUGAAAUAUAAGGAAGAAGUGAAGCAAUUAUGAUACCUAUUAUUUUUUAUAAUGACAGAAGGAACGUGGAAGAAAAAAACAUUUUGUGCAGCAUGUGAAAACAAGGAAAUAGAAUGAAAGAAGGGCUGCUACUUUUCAUGCUCCCGAAACCAGCCAUCUCAUCAUCAUAGCAUGUUGCAUUGGAGCUCUGCUGGAGUUUGCUGAUGACAGGAUGCUGAAGGGCUGAAGCUGGUAGCUCUGGCAGGAGUCCAGUGUCCACCAGCUCAAGAUCCGACGCCGCCGCGUCGCCGCCGUGCGGCACUCCGCGGAGACGGGGACGGCGGUCAUGAUUGAAGACACCGCAUUUCCCGCCUGGACUGUCCGGUCGGAGACUGGUAAUCCCUCCGGUGAGCCGCACACCGUGGAGCUACUGCACCGCGCGUGUCCACCCGCAGCGCAGUGCCAGCAACGGUGCCGUGAGUGCGACAUCUGCGUGCAUAUGACGCAGUGCGACUGUCACGACUCGCGGCUCAGUGUUCUGUCAGUGUGACAGUGCGGCUCGCGCUCGUUUUAGCGUGGUGCUCUGUUGUAUAUAACCACCUUGAUGGAGACCUAUGUGCUGCCGCUUGAGUUUCAGUGUACAGUUUUAUGCAUCAAACUAGCGUAAGUAAAUGGCUGUCAGAGGUCAAUUUGAAGCGCAAUUAGUACCCAUAACCCAGCUGGGUUGAGCGAGUCAUGUGACUAGUCCCGAUGAACGUACUGUUUCGAUGUCGUCGGUCGUAGACUUUUGUAAACCAUUCGUUUCGGAGCUCUGUGUUGUGUUGUUGGGGACCGCAGUUGUUUGAGCAGUUUGCUUUAUGCGUCGUACGCUGACAGAACGCUGGUCGUACACAAGUCAUGUGUUUCCUUUCGCCCCUAAUGUGUUACUGCGGUACCUAUGCAGUUGUAAUGUGUCUCUAUACACUAACUGGUCGCACUUGGUUGUGAAAAUGACACUAGCUGGUCGCACUUGGUUUCAAACUGCGCUUGGAAGUCGUGCAAUUUUAUUUGCAUUUUGCAAUGCAAUUUUAUUGCCGUUACCGUAUUGGUAGAUUGAGAUAGUGUCAGAAGUUGGCCAUUUGAUGCGUUGUCACUUGUGAGACGUUGUUGCCUUAGUACUGACGAAUUGCUGGGCCGCGUUUGUGUUCCUGUUAAGAAACGGAUCUCAAUAUAAGGUGAUUCAGAGGUAGGAACCUGAAUGCAUUC